rnacentral:rRNA from 1 species
AGGACGAACGCUGGCGGCGUGCUUAACACAUGCAAGUCGAGCGGUAAGGCCUUUCGGGGUACACGAGCGGCGAACGGGUGAGUAACACGUGGGUGAUCUGCCCUGCACUUCGGGAUAAGCCUGGGAAACUGGGUCUAAUACCGGAUAUGACCUCCUAUCGCAUGGUGGGUGGUGGAAAGAUUUAUCGGUGCAGGAUGGGCCCGCGGCCUAUCAGCUUGUUGGUGGGGUAAUGGCCUACCAAGGCGACGACGGGUAGCCGACCUGAGAGGGUGACCGGCCACACUGGGACUGAGACACGGCCCAGACUCCUACGGGAGGCAGCAGUGGGGAAUAUUGCACAAUGGGCGAAAGCCUGAUGCAGCGACGUCGCGUGAGGAUGACGGCCUCGGUUGUAACCUCUUCAGCAGGACGAAGCGCAAGUGACGGUACCGUGCAGAAGAAGCACCGGCUAACUACGUGCCAGCAGCCGC